rnacentral:rRNA from 1 species
UACGGAGGGUGCAAGCGUUAUCCGGAUUUACUGGGCGUAAAGGGCGCGUAGGCGGCCACCGCAAGUCGAUUGUGAAAUCUCCGGGCUUAACCCGGAAAGGUCAACCGAUACUGCGGGGCUAGAGUGCAGAAGGGGCAACUGGAAUUCUCGGUGUAGCGGUGAAAUGCGUAGAUAUCGAGAGGAACACCUGCGGCGAAGGCGGGUUGCUGGGCUGACACUGACGCUGAGGCGCGAAAGCUAGGGGAGCGAACGGG